CACAUUUUAGUUCUAGAUACAUCCAUAUUAAAGUCAACUAAUAUGAAUCGGAGGGAGCAUAUAUUGGUAAAUUUGAUACCCUCCUCCAGAUUUGUUUUGCUAUUUUUUUAAGAUUUGACCAAGUUUUCAUUCUUGUUCAAGGUAAACGAGGACUAUUGGAUGGCAGAACAGGGUAGCAGUUGCAACCUGUUUCCUCAUAGUCCGAAAAUGUUCCUGGUUUCUGGACAUGAGUACCUAGUUUCAAUAUCGAAGGUUAUUGAUUCAACUCAAAUAUUUUGCCAGGAUCAAGCAAUGUGUGUUUUGGCUGAAUUGUCUAGGUUCAGGAAGCUACCAUAUAAAAAAAGAGGUUCAGGAAGCUAUUCUUCCCAUCAGUUCUUAGUGGACAUGCUUCCCUUAGUGCAUCUUCAACGUCACCUACCGGUUGUUGCAUUCAGAAUUGGUACAGAAUUGUGCGUGCCGUAGAACGCAUCAUAUGAAGAAUAUUACAGUCGAAGAAUAUGAGAUUUGUCAGCCUUAGCAGUAAGGAACACCCUGAUUAUCUCUUCCUCAAGUCACUUGCGCCAAAUCGCCAAUCACUAUUCAGUUUGGGUUCGACAAGCUCAGGUGGUCGGUCCUCCAAGAUCCUCUGCAUAUAAAUUUGCACAAUCCUGCUCCCAGCCGCUCCACCUGAGUACCUUAUAAAUUUACCGCCUCUGGCUGAUGUGAAGUAUGUGCACUGCAGCUUCGUGGACAUAAAGCAAAGUGAGCAGCUUCCCUCCACCUCCAGCUUCUAACUCUAUGGUGACCAUGAGGAAAUGAUCUAUAGUGUUUCUGUUGUCCAAUCUUUCCCGAUAUUUGCUAUUUUAUUUUGUUCUUGAAGUAUAGAAUUAUAUUGCAGCCAUUGGUAAUUUUAAAAUUUCUACAAUAUUUUCAUGAACAUAACAACUAUUCUAUGUGUCAAUCGGAUGUGUAAUUGGUCAACGUACCCAAAAAGAAGCCUUUGGUAAUUUAAGUUUUUCUCUUUUAUGUGUAUAGAAUAUGAUUGGUCAAUCCUAUUCGCAAAAAAAAAAUUGGUCAAUGACCCCAAAAAGGACCUACUGAAAUACUAUAUGAGAACCUCCAACUCAUAGUUCGUUGAUUCAUGCUUCUCCUGGAGUAAUAUUAUAGGCACUUUUUGAGAUC